rnacentral:tRNA from 1 species
GGGGUUGUGGCUCAGUGGCAGAGCAUUCGCCUCGCACAUGCGAGACCCUGGUUUCAAUUCUCAGCACCACA